rnacentral:rRNA from 1 species
UACGUAGGGGGCAAGCGUUGUUCGGAAUUACUGGGCGUAAAGGGCGCGUAGGCGGUUCGCUAAGUCGGGUGUGAAACCUCCAGGCUCAACCUGGAGACGCCACCUGAUACUGGUGUGACUCGAGUCCGGUAGGGGAGCGUGGAAUUCCUGGUGUAGCGGUGAAAUGCGCAGAUAUCAGGAGGAACACCAGCGGCGAAGGCGGCGCUCUGGGCCGGAACUGACGCUGAGGAGCGAAAGCGUGGGUAGCAAACAGG